AAGUGGUUUUGCUGGAAAGUUCCGUUCACAUUUGGUUCAUAGAGGCCAAAACCGGGGUGUAGGGGAUGAAGGACAGUAGGGAGGUUUUGGGGGAGCCCUUCCCCUCCCUGUUGUCUGCCCGCACCUUGUGUGGCUUCACCCAAGAACUCCUAGAAUCUCUACAAUCCCAGAAGGGUAAACUGAGUCAGCACCCUUCACUUCCCCUUGGAAGCCAGUUUCUGUCCAGCUUCCGGGGCCACCUGAGUGAGCUCGGCAGGAAGAAUCGCUUCCCAUGUUCCUCCAGAGAAAGAAACCUGUUACUGCACUUGGAACGACCAGCCCAAUAUCUGAUGCAACAAAGAGAAAGAGCUUCAUGGGGAAUGUGCAGAGCGCAUAGGGCCCCACACACAGCCCCGCGGUCUUUACAUUCGUGGAGCCCUCGGGUGAAGCCACACGAGGCCCAGAACCCACUGGUCCCUGCACUAGAGAUGGCUGCUUCCUGCCCCUCCCUUGAUGCCUUUGGGAGAGCAUCGUGACCCUGAAUGGCGCUCACAGCUUGCACGCCUAUGGCUCGUGUCUGGCAGCCCCUUCCUGCAAAUAGCCAGGAUGAUGGGCGGCGGGAUUCCCUGGUGCACCCCGUUUGCCAGCCCGCAUACAGCUUGCCUGCCUUUUGGGAUGAGCGCCCGGCUCCGCUCUGCCCUCUGCCCACCACCAGUCCACAACCGGGGUGGCACCACACGCUCCUUCUCAGGGCCAGGCUGGCCAGUGUGAGCUUGUAACACUGGAGCUGAGAAAGGUUUUCCAGCAGCCUUGAGUCUGCAGGACUCAGGGCUGGACCAUCGCGCUCACUUCACUCGGCAGACCCGGCUGAACCCCUUGCCCUCUGUGGACUGUGCUUUUGUGGUGGCACAGGAGAAGUUAGGAGCCAGGCUCCAUGUGCUUCUCAAACAAGGCUAAGAGAAGAGGAGCCUCUUUCCCAGGGAGGGCAAAUCUGUGGCCCACCUAUGCCACGCCCUGACCACUCUGCUUGCUUCUGUCCAGUGAUGGGGAACUGGGGGCAAGCUCAGCCUCAUCAGAGUGCAAGAACCACACCACACUUAGCCAGGCCCCCGGGAGGUGGGCCAGUGCCCCCACGUGCCUGCAGCUCUCACAGCAGCUCUGCCCGGUCCCAAGGCUGCCUGCACCUGUGCUGGGCGGCUCUGCAGGCUUGGGGCUGGCUCCUGCCUGCCGCGCCCUCUGCCCCACAGCCUCUGCACACAGCCUGGCCAAGCUGUGCUGUCUGGAGAGCUGCUCUCGCCAGAGGGCUAGGCCUGUUAGGAAGGAAUCGACGUCCAGGCAGAUGCAGUGCGACCUCCAAUAGGCACAGGGCAAGGACCCCAGGUGAGGACCUCAAGGCAGAAAGACCAGGCUGUCUGCAGAGCCAGAGGGGCGACAGUGCCCCAGGCUGUGACAGCAGGAGCUCAGGUUCUGCAGCCAGGUCUGUUGGGGACACUCCCGGCUUGCGGUGCUUUCUCUCUCCUGGCAGGAGGACGUCCUAAUAAGGCCUGAAAGCCCGCCGGUGGUCAUGAGGAGCCAGCUACCCCUUUGCAUCUAUUCCAUGACCACCCGGCACCUGUCCCAAGGAAACAAGCCAAACCGCAGUGAAAAGCAUCGCAGCUGAGCCUCUCCUGUCACAGGGACAGACGGAAGGGCAUCAGUGUCUGGGGACAGGGAGGGCUGGCAGGAGUGCAGGACAGAGCCACGUGCCCCACCCCCCGUUAUGUGCACACAGUGAGAAUCCCAGGGGGAGUCAGGGGAAAAGGGGUGAGACGCUGGUCCUGUAAAGAGGGGUGACACAGAAGAGAAGCUUCCCACGGCUGCAGCUCUUCUCUAAGGUUCCACCUUUGCACAUGUGCACGUGUGGGUCCCAUAAAUACAAGGUGUGCUGGCGCCCCAGAGUGGUGUGUUUGUUUACAUGAAGGGAGAUGUCUCUCCCUGCCUGAAGAUUUCACUUUGGGAAUAAAGGGAAAAAAAAAAUUAGGAGGAGACCUCAGGGGUGGCGAGUACAGAAGGAAGCAGGCCAGAAGCACAAGCGCCACGCCCGGGGUCUCCUCCCAGCAGGUAAAGGGGCCAGGAGAGAAGAGAAGCCAAAGGAAGCCUAGCGUUCCUUCUCCUGGCAGAAGGCCGCCGUUCGUUCCUCUGCCAGUGGCAGUGCCUCAGGAUCCACCUUAUUGCAGCCUUCCUCAUUCUAGGGUUGCCAUCUCAUUCUAAAAAUCAAAUUUCUGCUCCUGACACAGCGGUUGCUGCUAUGGGGCUGCCGAGUGGGCAGUGCCUGUGUUUUCUGAGAACUAUGGGCCAGUGCUUGGGCCCUCUGCUCCCCUCUCCUACACAGGAAAACCGGGUCUUAAGAAGGCAAGCACAGCCUGGAGGAGCAGAAGCCGGAUUUACCCCGGCCUGCGGACGCCAGCUCUCAAAAUCCCACAGCCCAGCUACUUGGCUUCUGUGGCUGGCCAGGCGCUGGCCGCCGUUGGGAGGCUCAGGCCGCCGGGAGCUGGCUUUGGGAUGCCGGGCUGUUUGUUGACCCAGCAGCUGGUUGUGCAAUAGCCACGUGACACUCGCAGGGUGUGGUGGAGGAGACCAAGAAGGGAGGAGAAGGGGCUCCUGAGGGCUGUGCUGUCCAACAUGGCUGGGGUGGUGGCCAAGGGCAGGCCCCUGUGCCACUCAGAUGACGGGGUGCAUCAGGACCUUUCAGGGGGUGCCAGGUAACCUGGGGUGUCUGUAGCUCCCUGCCCAGCUGUGCCCACCCCAUGGCUAGCAUUUGCCCAGCUGAGCUAUGGCUGCAGGGACCUCAGGGAACACCCCAACAGCCUCUCUACCCUGGAGUUUGAGAGCACGACCAGAGCUUCCAGCUAGACUCCCGGAGCAAGGCCUGCCAUCCGGCACCCAGUCAGCAAUUGGGAACGGCAUCCCCAGCCAGAGCCUGGCUCUUUCAAACACUUCCUGUUGAAUGCAAUCAUGAUGAAAGUUCCUAGAGGAGACAGUGCUGAGCCCACUUUACGGACAGAUAAAGAGAUACAGGGCAGGGCAGGAACUCCCUGGGCGGUAGGAGUGUGCCCCCCAGCAGACUCGGCCACAGCCCGGGGCCACUCACCCCUCUGUCUCUGCAGACAGCUGGGCCUUUCCAGGAGCCUGGUCCUCAGCCACACUGACCUCUCCCUGCCUCCAUGUCCUCACAGGAUGAAGGUGACAGCAGCACUGCCCCCUGGGGGCUUUUGCAUGUGAGGUGGUGGCACUGCCUGGACCUGCACACGUCGUGGUCCCUCCACCAUCAUGAUCAUCUCUGCGCCUCUCUGUGUGUCAGUCUGUUCAAGAGUUGGUCUUCCUACCCCCCAUCAGCAUGGCAUGUAACAGGGUCAGUGGUGUCAGUGUCAGGGUAAAAGGACAGGGACAGUGACGGGUGGUGAUGUGGAAGAUCCCGUUGCUUGUGGCAGGCCUGGCAGGACCUGGGGCCCUCAUACAGCAAUCUUAGGUGAUAAGAGCGAUCUGAAUGUGCUCACUGUCCUGCACUUGGAGGAAGGCAGAUGUUUUCCACACAGGCUGGGACUGGAGAGCAAGAGUACAAGACCCUCAGCUCCCUUCGCGAGCCUUCUUCGUGGCAGCUGGGACGGUCUGCUGACCAAGAGGAGGUGGGAGAGGCUUCAUGAUUAACUUAUGUUUCAAAAUCUCCUCAGCCCCAGAGCCAUUCCACUCCAGUCAUGGCAUCAGGGCAAAGGGACUUCACCUUGUGCUCUAGGGAUCUAAUGUCCCCAGCAGGCCUGUGAGAAGCCGUGUGGUCCCGUUUGUCCCCGAGCCUCGCUUCCUGGCAGUGGAUGUCAGGGGCCAGGCCGGGAGUGCAGGACCCCCAGGAUGACCACUCCUGCCACCGCCCCGCAGGCCUCCUCAUGACCCCCUGGCCACACUAUCCACCAUGUCAGAGAGAGGCGAGCAGCAGAGCCGCACAUGUGGUGUGGGAAUCCCCAGGCCUCGCUAAUUGGGGUCUGCAGCGGUUCUGCUCUUUGUCUGAGCAAAAGAGAUAAGAAGCCAGCGGCUGGGCUUGAUCUAAGGGCUGCAGGCGGUGUGCAGCUUGCUCCCAAGUGCCUGGUGCGGCCAGCAGGCCCCUCCAGCUGGCAGUGGGCCCCUCCUCCAGAGGCGACAGGGUGGUGUCGCGGGGGCUCGCCAGGCAGAGCUGCUCUGCAAGCCUGCCGCUCGACACCCUCCGUGGGCGCCGCUGUGGCUUCUCCUUCAAGUGAGGCUGUGCUGGCCGCUGUUGCGUUCACAUCACCACCAAGUCCUGGUCCUCUCUAGAACCAAAGCUGUUCUCAGAAAAUAAAGAAAGCACCACCUUACGGCAGCCAGUGGGUGCCUCUUAGGGCUCGCUUGGAAAUCUCAGGAUUCAAAUUGAACAGAAAAUAGUGCACAGUCAUCAGAAAGGACUUGGGUAAAGGAGCUUACAUUGUAAACUGGUGUUUGCUUUGUACAGAAAUAAUGUGGGAAAGGCUACUGGAUGAAUUUGUACAUGGAAACAGGGCAUACUUCCUUUAAAUUCGUGAAAGCCCCUGCAUAGCUAAUAGUUCAAACAGAAAUAAUAUGUAUCGUUAAUAAUAGAUUUUCCUACUAUGUAAAUAUAAAAGGUAUUAUAUAUUAUAUUGACAUUCAGGCUAAAUCUUUCCCUUAUAAGGUGCUUGACAUAAAUAGCUUUUAUUAUGGAACUCUUGAGUGGACGGGACACACACAUUUCUUAAAGGUCUCAGCUGCUUUUGUUAUCCUUGGAGACAUAAAAUUGAAGUUCCCAACUUCUAGUAUCAAAUUUUAGCCCAAACCUAUAAAAUGUGUGUUGUCGGAAGCGCCAGAAGUUCUGAGCUCCCUCUGGGCAGCGUGCAGCAGCUGGUGCUCCGGCCCCAGGGCCGGGCGACCCGGCCGCACGGCUCUGCCUCAUCCGCGCACAGGCAGCAAGUCCUUCCUGGUCUGCCCUCUUCCUGCGGGGUUGGCUGGGAAGAAGCGGGUGGCCGAGGCCUGGGCCACUUGCUAGGGGACAAGCUUGUGGGGCUGAGUCCAAGGCCUGCAGAUAGGACCCUCCAUCAGGAAUGCGAGGAAUGUUUUCCUUCGGACCCGAUGGAGGCGCACAGACCAUGGGGAUUCUGUCUGCCGUGACAGCCGUGACAUUUGCCAGAGCCUGGACGGCUGUGGAAAUGGCAUUGCCCACCCUGAAAGUGAGAAGGAGCGACAAAGGUGCCGUGAGGUGAACGCUGUGAAGGCGAAGGGUCACUGUGGGCUUGGGGUCGGCCCUGCACUCCCUUGUGGACCUCAGCCCCAGCGACGCCUGUCCUUUUGCUCUCUGUAGAAAUGCUUGUUCUGGACAAUUUACGCAAGUGAAAUUAUGUC